rnacentral:rRNA from 1 species
AACGAACGCUGGCGGCAUGCCUAACACAUGCAAGUCGAACGAGUACCUUCGGGUGCUAGUGGCGCACGGGUGAGUAACGCGUGGGAACCUGCCUUUCGGUACGGGAUAACGUCGGGAGACUGACGCUAAUACCGUAUAUGUCUUUGGACGAAAGAUUUAUCGCCGGAAGAGGGGCCCGCGUCUGAUUAGGUAGUUGGUGAGGUAACGGCUCACCAAGCCUUCGAUCAGUAGCUGGUCUGAGAGGAUGAUCAGCCACACUGGGACUGAGACACGGCCCAGACUCCUACGGGAGGCAGCAGUGGGGAAUAUUGGACAAUGGGCGCAAGCCUGAUCCAGCAAUGCCGCGUGAGUGAUGAAGGCCUUCGGGUUGUAAAGCUCUUUUGCCUGCGACGAUGAUGACGGUAGCAGGAGAAUAAGCCCCGGCUAACUUCGUGCCAGCCGCCGCAGUAA